rnacentral:rRNA from 1 species
CCUACGGGGUGCAGCAGUGAGGAAUAUUGGUCAAUGGACGAGAGUCUGAACCAGCCAAGUAGCGUGAAGGAUGACUGCCCUAUGGGUUGUAAACUUCUUUUAUAUGGGAAUAAAAUGUUCCACGUGUGGGAUUUUGUAUGUACCAUAUGAAUAAGGAUCGGCUAACUCCGUGCCAGCAGCCGCGGUAAUACGGAGGAUCCGAGCGUUAUCCGGAUUUAUUGGGUGUAAAGGGAGCGUAGGUGGAUUGUUAAGUCAGUUGUGAAAGUUUGCGGCUCAACCGUAAAAUUGCAGUUGACACUGGCAGUCUUGAGUACAGUAGAGGUGGGCGGAAUUCGUGGUGUAGAGGUGAAAUGCUUAGAUAUCACGAAGAACUCCGAUUGCGAAGGCAGUUCACUGGACUGCAACUGACACUGAGGCUCGAAAGUGUGGGUAUCAAACAGGAUUAGAUACCCCGGUAGUC